rnacentral:rRNA from 1 species
UAAAAAUCUAUUUAUUUUAGGUAGUAACAGAUUUCUUGAAACCUAAAGAAUUUGGCGGUAUUUUAAAUAAUUAGAGGAACCUGUUAAAUAAAUGAUAAUCCACAACAUAUCUUACCUUAAUUAAGUUUGUAUACCGUUGUUUUCAGAUUAUAUUUAAAAAUUAUAAUCAAAAUUAAUUAAUUUUCGUAAAUCAAAUCAAGGUGCAGCACAUUUAGGUCUUAAUGGGUUACAAUAUAUUUAUAUACACGAAUUAAUUAUGAAAAUGUUUUUGAAGGUGGAUUUAAAAGUAAUUUAAAAUUAAAAUGUUUAGAUGAAUAAAAAUUUAAAAUAUGC